rnacentral:ncRNA from 1 species
UAAAAGGAAUGAAAAAUCACAUAACUGGUUGGUAGUCCAGUUACAUUAGGAGUUGACUCCUAAUGCAGUAUCCUUGCCCCCUCGGGCUCGUCCAUCAUUCCUUUCACAUUC